rnacentral:rRNA from 1 species
UACGUAGGGAGCAAGCGUUGUCCGGAAUCAUUGGGCGUAAAGCGCGCGUAGGUGGCCUCAUAAGUCCGCUGUGAAAGUCAAAGGCUCAACCUUUGAAAGCCGGUGGAUACUGUGAGGCUAGAGUACGGAAGAGGCGAGUGGAAUUCCUGGUGUAGCGGUGGAAUGCGUAGAGAUCGGGAGGAACAUCUGUGGCGAAGGCGACUACCUGGACCAGCACUGACACUGAGGCACGAAAGCGUGGGGAGCAAACAGG